rnacentral:rRNA from 1 species
GACGAACGCUGGCGGCGUGCUUAACACAUGCAAGUCGAACGGAAAGGCCCUGCUUGCAGGGUACUCGAGUGGCGAACGGGUGAGUAACACGUGGGUGAUCUGCCCUGCACUUCGGGAUAAGCCUGGGAAACUGGGUCUAAUACCGGAUAGGAGCCAUUUUUAGUGUGAUGGUUGGAAAGUUUUUUCGGUGUAGGAUGAGCUCGCGGCCUAUCAGCUUGUUGGUGGGGUAAUGGCCUACCAAGGCGGCGACGGGUAGCCGGCCUGGGAGGGUGGACGGCCACAUUGGGACUGAGAUACGGCCCAGACUCCUACGGGAGGCAGCAGUGGGGAAGAUUGCACAAUGGGCGCAAGCCGGAUGCAGCGACGCCGCGGGGGGGAUGACGGCCUUCGGGUUGUAAACUCCUUUCGCUAGGGACGAAGCUUUUUGUGACGGUACCUAGAUAAGAAGCACCGGCUAACUACGUG